CUUGCCAUUCAAAAUGCCACAAUUUUAGGGAAAAAGCAAUAUGGUGCCUUCUAGAAAUAACCCCCAAACGCACACGGUUUGUGCAGGAUUUUGAAUGGGUUGUGCCAGCCUGAACCUUUGGGACUCGUGCCCUCAAUGCUGCUCUGCUUGGCAAUCCCAGCAUGGAGCCUUGUGGGGACCAUGAGGGGACACCGAGCUGUCUCCGUGUCCCUUUGCCUCAUGUGUCACUGCCAAAAACACUCCACAGGAUCAGGUUUUUGCAGGAGGGCAAUGGGGAGGAGGGAGCUGGCUGCAGAGCUGCGUGAUCUCCCCAUCAUUGGAGUUUCUGCCCCUCCUGGUACCCUGUCCUUCCAGGGGCAACUGGCACAGGGCAGCCCUGGGCAUGUGGCAUGAGUGCUGCCGGAGCUGGGCUGUGCUCCAGCAGUGCCUCAGUUUCCCUUUAUACCCAAUGGCAGACCCUGUGCUCUCCACAGCAAUACUGCAGACAGACGUUUGGUUUUGUAGGGGGGAUUUCGAGGCCGUUCUCUUAGCAGCAAAGCAUUCAACCAACUGCCUCCAACUCCCCCAUCCUCUGCAGCCUCCGGUUUCCUCCCCGCAGAGCAGCCGUCGGGAUGUGCGCUCAUACCCACAGUGGAUGUGCAGCAGCUGUGGGAUGCAGUGCUGCCCCACACACCGCUCCCCCCAUUUCCUCUGCAGUAGCUGCUCGGGAUAAGCUUGCAUGUCGCUGAGCUUUUCCUCGUGUGUUAACUAUUGCUGAGACAAUUACGUUAAAAUCACACCACCUGCAAGCGGUUAGUUAGAAUAAUAAAUAAGUGAUAGAUUAUCAAAUAAAGCGUUCGCUUCGGAUGAGGUCAUCCCAGCACCAUGUCGCGGGUCUCGGCGGGUUUGCAGCCUGCUUUCCUGCCGCCAAUCGGCCAAAUCGCUCUUGUAUCAGUCAAUAAAAGUGUUGUAGAGAUUAAAGAAUCAAUUAGGCAUUAGCCAAAGGGGCAAAAGCAUAACCCAAACAUGCUGAUAAAAUCCAGUAGGUGAUUAUGGGAAUGGUUCCUAUUUCAUUUUACUUUAGAAGGAAAUAAUUGCUCGUUACCGAGCACGGAGCAGCCGGGCCGGGUGCUUUUCCAGCUUUAUGGAAAGCAGGAGGAAGCCCUGGUGCUGGGCUGACAGACGCAGAGGCACGCCACGCUUUAGGGCUGAAUGUGCAUGUUUUGCUGCUUGCUUUGAGGAGAGCCAUUUUAGCCCUGAAAGGGGACAGGGGAGCUGAGUCUGUCAUAUGGUGCAGCCUGGGGAGCUCGGUGCCACAGCCAGGCAUUGCCCGCUCAAGGCAGAGGGCCCAGGCACAUGUUUGCAGAUGGAUUUAAGGAGCCCAAGCAUGCGGGCUGCUGCCAGCAGCUGCAACCUACAAUGCACAGGAGCAAAUAGAUCUGUACGCACUAUGCCUGGCCAAUAUCUGCUCUUUGUAAAUGCACAAACUUUGAUUAACCAAGCAAAAUCCAGUCAGCUGAAAAAGCAUUUAGGGAUAUAUAUGCUUAACUUCUUCCCGGUAUUUCUGGUGGCAGUACAUCUGGGCAGGUGCCUUGCAGUGAGAAUCGGGCCGGUUUGCAGUGGGGCUGUGCAAUGUCACAUUUUGCUAACUCGUGCUAACAUUUAUUAAGUGGUAGCCUGCCACAAAGCCUUACCUCAUUUCGGGUCUCUGCAUGCUGGCCAAACACAGGGAGGGAAGAAAAGGUGUGGGCUCAACCAGCUCAUUCCCUCAGCACAGGUGAGCAUAGGGACAGCCAGAGGUGGCUGUUCUGAAGUCAUGGGAAGGGGCUAAGUGGGAACCUGAGGUCUCCACGCUGCAGCUUUUGACCCAAUUUUGCUGCCAAGAGAGGAUGUUCAGGUUGGAUAGUUGGAACAGUUUCUUCUUGUCACCAUCCCUGGAGGUGCUCAAGGACCAUGGAGAUGUGGCACUUGGGGACAUGGUCAGUGGGCGUGGUGGGAUGGGUUGGGGUUGGGCUUGAGGAUCUCAGAGGUCUUUCCCAACCUGAAUGGUUCUGUGAUUCUAUGAAAGAUGCUAACGAUUAUUAUAGUGCUGAAAUACUGAAGGAGGUAGAUAGGCUUUGGAAACAAAAGGCAAAUCAGUAAGUGUUCUCUUCCCUUGGAACAAAGUCGAUGUAAAAGGCUGAGAUGGUUUUGCAAAGCACUAAAUUCUGAGGUGGCAGAAUGAGUUUAAAUGACUUCAGUCUGAGAUGAUUUUGCAAGGUGCAGCCCAUCACACCCUUAGCUGUGCUGCAGCCACCCAGUGCUGCCCGGGUGCAGGUUUUCUGCCCUGGAUGCACAGUGUGGGACCUCCUGGUCUGGAUGGGAGGGCUGAAUGCUGCUGGGCAGCCUGGCAGGUGGGGACAGCUCAUUGUCCCCCUCCCCAUGGGAAACUGGGAGUUGCUCCCAGUUUAGCUUAGUAAUGAGGCAAGUUCUGAGCUUUACUGUUCAAGCAGGUUUUUCUCCAAAAAGUAUCUUGCUGGGAGGGCAUUUUCUGCAGCAUUUCCAACACAGACCUGCUUAUAGGCAAUGCAAGUUUGCUUCUUGACUUGGAACCAGAGGCUGAGAACCAGCACCAAAAAAGCCAGAACUGAAGCCGGGAGGAUGAGAAGCUGUCACUUUCUCCCCAGCGUGCAGCUGUGCUCUCGGCACGGAGCGGCCAUCUGCAGCGCCCGCCCUGGAAAGCAGCCCCACAGCUGCGCUCGCCUGGUACCGGCGGUACCCGGACGAGGUCAUUCAUCACCGGGCGAGGAAGCUUGGCAGGGAAGAGGAGGACGACAACCACAGGAGGCAAAUUUUAAAGCGCUGUGUGGACUGUGGUUAUUAUAUCUGCUGCCUGAGCUUUUUUCCCUUCGCUGCUAUAGAUGGGUGACAAAGCUCCCCACUGGGGCUGGAAGCGUUCUCAUGUGUUGAUGGAAUAGAGCAGCCCCAUCGAGGACUCCAUUGAGGCCAGGGGCCACCACUGCCCCAAGGGUGGGAGCAGGCAGUGGGGUUUGUGUCCCUUCCCUGUGCAGUGUGAGAAGUGUGGAAAUGGGGAAUGAAGGGCUCAGUCCCAAAGGCCACACUGGGAUGGGGUUGGGAUGGGGUAGGAUGCCAUAGUGCAGGCACUGUGCCCCUUUCUCAGCGCCUUGUCCCACCUCUGCUAUAGCCAACUCCAGGAGAGAGCAAAAUGUGCAUGCUGAGCCCUGCAGGCACACUGAGCCCCAGGCCCACUGGCUCUUGGCUGGAAGUGCUGCAAGGCACUGAGCCCUGUGACCUGCUGAUCCCCACCGUGGCCAUCCAUUAGCAGCACAGCAGAGAGGGCACGGCAGCAAGCGCAGUGCUGUGCUGGAGCUCAUGUCCCCAACCCGCUCGUCCUCCCUGCUCUGUGUGCCAGAGGGAGCCAGCAGCCACCCGUUGCGAUGUCCACUGUAAGCACUGGUGUUGCUUCUGCACUUUUGGUCCCCAGCUCAUUGGAGAAGUGUGAGCACUGGGAGCCAUACGAGAGGUGUGAGCCCAGAACAGAGCCCGCCGUGCUGCAGUGGACACGGGGUGGCACCACUGGACCCUGCGGUGGAUAUCGGGUGGGAUGGGACACGGUCCCUCCCCAGCAGGAGGAGGUGAGUGCACGGGGACAGGGCACAGAGAGCAGCCAAGCCCUGCUCCGACACAGCAGGCUGUCUCCGUGGGAUGCCCUGCCUUUCCUGUUUACUUGUUAUUUUGGAAAUAGAACAAUAAAUAAUUUAUCGCCAAUCGCUUGGCACGCAUCCGACGUGUCAGUUCAGUUGAUUUUAACUGGCCAAGUGUCAGGGCAAAAGGCCAGGAACGCCGUGCUAGGGAACAGUCAACAGCACAAUUAUAAGAUUAACACCUUGUUUGGUGGUCAGAUACUGUCGAGUGGUAAAAGAUUGCUCCGGUUCGUCUCUAUAGAGCAUCGCUCACAAAUUACCUUAUUAAGCACGCGGUCGGCUCCCUGCACCUGUGUCCUCAGAUAUUCCCAUUCAUGGUGGAGAGGAGGCCAGCACUGCCGGGGCCGCUGGGGGCUGCGCAGCUGCGGCUGCAUUAUUCGCUCUUUGCAUAUUUGCAUAUCAAUGAGCCCCUGAUUAAUAUUUAAAGAGCCAGCUGUCCGAGCCACCUAGGAAAGAAAAAAAGCUCUGUUCGCUUUUUAUUUAUUUAUUUAUUUAUUUAUUUAUUUGGGGAUAACACUCACGGCCGUUUAUCAAGUAUGCUUCAUUUUUAACCCCACUAUUCUUUUAUUAAGAAAAAAA
rnacentral:lncRNA from 1 species